GUGUCAGCUCAGUUGGUAGAGCACGAUACUAGCAAUGGCAGGGUUGCGGGUUUGAUUCCCAUGGGGGGACA